GCUGUGGGGGCACAUUAGGGCGUUGUAAGGCCUCUCCCCCCAUCCAGUCUAAAAGAACCGAGCCUUUGACUUUGCUCAUGUCAGGACGAGGUUCUCCUCCUGUUCCAGACAUGGCUGUGGGGGCACAUUAGGGUGUUGUAAGGCCUCUCCCCCCAUCUGGUCUAAAAGAACUGGGCCUUUGACUUUGCUCAUGUCAGGACGAGGUUCUCCUCCUGUUCCUGACAUGGCUGUGGGGGCGCAUUAGGGC
rnacentral:lncRNA from 1 species